UGAGCCAGUCGUGUCAUCGCACGCACAGAGCUCACAUUUGCAAGUUGCUCUUUAGCUUACUGUAGAAAGCUAGUUCAAUUGUCAGAGUGCCGGGGCGCUGAUGUAGUCAAACGGCAGAGAAGUUGGAGGUGCCUCGUUCUUCCAGAACUUCCCUGGAAUAACAUUUUUUGAUAAAUAUUGGCGUCGAAAAGCUCUACAUAUCGACAUAUAUUUCUCACUUUCCCGCCACAUCACAAGGAAGGGUAUAUCAGGAGCCAUUAUAACGUAAGCCUCAGCAAGUAGGAGGAGCACUGGAUGAAGCAGACGGCAGCGGUGGUGUUUUUAACUUUCGGGUUGGCGGAGGCGCUGGUUGAAAAGUGUGGUCAAUAUCCGACAAGGAUCACAGCUUUGGACAACAGCACAUGUAUAUCGAGCGUCUACUGGGGACCAAUUGAAGGCUACGCACCGGACCGUCCUGAGAAACCGGAAAAUUGCACGUCAACGGUGGAGGUUAUGCUGAAUUGCACCUGCCAUAACGGCGACACCGUGUCCGGGCGGCGAUAUUGUCUCCACAACAUUACGAGGACGCAGGAUGACAAUACAGCAAACAUUACUGUGGGAUUGUGUGGCGAUAGAAAAUGCCAUCUUUAUCACUACAGUGCACAUUUCGAAGUGGACUUGAGGGACCUGCAACUAGCUCAUAUCCUGAAGGUGUUUCCGAAACCUCCUUGCAUCGCUCUUAACAUGAGCGUCACAGGACAGUUUCAGGCAGUGGCUGGUUGCGAAUUCUAUUGCUAUAAACGGGAGAACAAGGACAUCGAUGACGGACGGCCCUGCGUGCUAGAAUGGUACGAAAGACGUUUCACAGGUAAACCUGUUGUCACGCUGACUGGUUCAUGCGAGAAAGGAAUAUGCAGGCAAGCAGAACAGUAUUCGAGCAGCUUAGCAGGCGAAUGUUAUGAUUACGACCGCUACAAGAGAAACUCUAAGGUUGUUGAAAAAUGCACAUACAGGUGUCAUGGAAAACAUCCACAUGAAAAACAUCGUCCCAACGGACUAACAUGUCUGUUUCGGAAAACAAACAUUUUUAGCAGAGACGAAUUAGGCGCAUGUAAUGCCGGUGCUUGCUCAAAAGUUCGUCAAGUGGAUGGAUGUGACAUGCUGUUUUACCCGUUCAGGAAAACAUCACCGAUUUAUGUUGUUAAAGAAUGUUUCUGUAAAAAAGGAAGAGAAACAACGCCGUUGCAAGAUGGAAUAUUGUGUGCGUUAAGACGUGCCUUAAGUUGGACUGGCAUGAAGUUGCAAGAAGUCGGAGUGUGCAAGAGAGGCCAAUGUACACCGCAUCCGCCAGACCGACCACUACCGCACAAGUUUAAGAAGAAGGAGUGCAAGAUAAGCGAUGUGCAAGUGUCUUCUCAGGUUUGCUCAUAUAUGCUCAUUAUGGCAUAAUAUUUGCAUGAAGUCUGCAAAACAUAGAAAAACAGCCGCACCGAAAGAACUUGUUGUGGCAGCUGGUUGUGGAGCUACAUGCAGACGUUAUGAGACUGAACAUCGACCGAAUGGAACACUGUGUCUUCUGGAAUACAAGCGGCAAGAAAAA
rnacentral:misc_RNA from 1 species